GAACCCUGUUGUAACAGUCUCACUCAGUCUCAGAGCACCAAUCAAAGCUCUGCUUCACAACAAACAGCCAACCAGGAUCAAACUCAGGUUUACUCCUCUCUUCUUCAUGGUGAUCUUUCAGUCUAUGAACCAAUCAGAGGCUCUGGAAACACUGGAAGUGGUACAAACAGUAUAACCUUUGAUAAUAACAGAGCUGUAAGAAAUGUAAAUAUUUAU